CCCGCGAGAGCGCGCCCCCCGCGCUGCGCGCCGCGCCCCGCCCCGCCUCGCCCGCCGGCCGUUGGUGGGCGGGGCGCUGGAGUCGGCCGGGGUCCCCCAAAUCCAGCCGGAAACAGUUGGCGAGUAAAUGUCUACGGGAUCCUUGUGUUGCUUCAGGCGUCCUGACGACAGGCUGCUUGAGAUCCGCUGUGGGCUGAUGAUACCUCCUGGAGAUGCUCUCUUACAUGUCCAGAUUUUCCCACUGGCAAAUGGGCCGGCAAUAUUGCGCUCACGUUCGGGAACGAGAUGCACGGUCAGCGUGUGAAAUGGCACAGCUGCGUGGCCUGCUGUUUGAAUGGGUUAUGACUAGUGACUUCUGUGAAUGCCAUGAGUGGAUGAAGUGGCACUGGUGGAUCAGGAACCCUGAUGUUGCCGACAGGUCAUCCAGAUGCCCGUGUCUUCCGUGGUUGCCUAGGACAUGAGCAGCAGGAAGUGAGGGCCUUUCCCCUCCACACAAGGGCUUCACUGUCUGCACCAUCAGUCCCCACUCUGACCUCAGGUCUUCAAGGAAAUGAAAACCUGCUCCCCCUUGCAAAAGGCACACCUCCAUAUGCAGUCUACAGACCUGGGGGACUAGACCAGUGGCAUGAUCUUGCCAUCCUCCUGCCAGAAGUAAAUGAAAAGAAUUCAUCCAAAUACCCAGACCAACCAAAGAGGGGGUCUGAGGGAGGAGAUCCAGACUGUGAAAGGAGAUGAGAACUGAGGAGACUGAGGCCUGAGAAGUCCAAAGCCGAGGAUGCAAGGAGACAAGGAGGCAAGGAGGCUGGGGAGGUGGAGAAGGCUGAGGAGGCAGCAGAGGCUGCUGUGAAAAGAGGAAGGCAGGGAGCAGUGUCUGGCUGGAAGGGUGGGGUCCUUCAGGUAUAUCUGAGAGUAAGGGCCAAAUGGACCCUUUCAGAUGCCAUUGGUUACAAACCAGCCUGCAUCUUUAGCAAAUGAAUGUAAACAAGAGGCCCCACUUAAACAAGCCUCACAUUAACAGUUCCUGCUUCCUCUAACUCAUCCUAAUUUCUCAAUACAAAUACAAUAGUGAUUUCAUGUUUAGUCUCCUUUAUGUUGCAAAUAAAUAGCAGGCCAUGCCCAUUGUGUCAUUCUUUGUAGCCCGGAGAGUGCAAAUAUAGAAUGUAAAAUAAUUUAUCUUAAAACUGUGCUGUGAAAAGUGAAUCAUUUUGACAGAUGAUCAUCACUCUUAGGGUACUGAAUUUUUAAAGUCUAAAAUUCACAUGUAGGAGAUUUGGCUACUUUAGAAAGAUAUUUGAACUGAUUAUCAGUUCAUCUUGUUACCAAACCAGGUUCAUUCUUGCCCACCACCCAGAAAGCCAAACACCAAGACAACGGGAUUACAGCAGAGAGAGGGUUUACUCACAAGGCAGCCAUGUGAGGAAGUGAGACCAUGAGCCCCAAAUGCACUUCCCCAAAAAUAGGGUCUCAGGGAUAUUUAUGGGACAGGGGGCAAGGCAGUCAGAAAUGUGGAGAGACAUGAUUAGAGGUGAGGAGAGGUGAGGUAAUUGAUGGUCUGCACAAACAUAGUCAGACUUCAUGCCUCUUCAUAGGACCCAUGUUCACAAAAUGGUGGCAUUAGCAUGAUCUGAGGGUGGAGUUUUUAGCCUCUUGUUGUCAAAUGGUCACAAAUCGGACAUCUCUGCAGGCCCAGUUGACGAUUUGGUGGUCUCAACUGGCCUGAAGUGGACGAGGAGUUCUAAUUCCUGAAAAACAGCUCACAUGCCCAUUACCAUGGUGACCUAGGCUCCAGAAAGAUGUUAUCCAUAGGAGCCUAGUGGGAGUCAGAUAGCAUAUUGCCUAAACAGCACGGUUAACAAUGGAUGGGUUAAACAGCUAAAAGCUAUAAUCAGUAAUUGCAAAAAGGAAAAAAAAACUUUAGUUCCUAGCUACUUAAUCAUCAAUAGCUAACUUUCUGCCAGUUUCAAUCCCCCUAUUCUUUGGUCAUUCCAAAGAAUGUUUGGGGCAACAACCAAUCUAGCUACUUCCUGCUGAAUCGGGGCAUAGAUCUGGCUGAGAGGAAUGAAACUGUUUAGCACUCUCAUUUGGAAAUGUUCCCUUGUUCCAGGCUUCAUGUUGACGUUUUUGUAUUAUUAGAAUUUUGUAUCUUGCUCUACAUCUAAAAAGCACAUUUUAUAAUCAAGUAUCUGAUGAUAAGGAUAAGUAUAGACAAUCCAAAUUUUAACAGUCCGUCAAAAAUAGACCUAAUUCCAUUGGGGCCUCCAUUUGAUCUCCAGGUGGGGCAGACAUCUGGUCUCAGUUCCUGAUAGUCUUUUGUUUUAUUGGAUAUGCAUCAGAGACCAGAGCAAUGGCCUAUACCCUGGUCUUUCAGUUGUCAUUGA